rnacentral:rRNA from 1 species
CGGGGACAGACGGAAACCUAGUGAAGUCUGUCCGAGUGGCGGACGGGUGAGUAACGCGUGGAUAACCUGCCGCAUGCAGGGGGAUACCGGCUGGAAACAGCCGCUAAUACCGCAUAAGCGCACGGUGCCGCAUGGCAGAGUGCGAAAAGGAGAAAUCCGGCAAGCGAUGGAUCCGCGUCCGAUUAGCCAGUUGGCGGGGUAAUGGCCCACCAAAGCGACGAUCGGUAGCCGGCCUGAGAGGGCGGACGGCCACAUUGGGACUGAGACACGGCCCAGACUCCUACGGGAGGCAGCAGUGGGGGAUAUUGCACAAUGGGGGAAACCCUGAUGCAGCGACGCCGCGUGGGUGAAGAAGUAUUUCGGUAUGUAAAGCCCUAUCAGCAGGGAAGAAAGAAGACGGUACCUGACUAAGAAGCCCCGGCUAACUACGUGCCAGCAGCCGCGGUAAUACGUAGGGGGCAAGCGUUAUCCGGAUUCACUGGGUGUAAAGGGAGCGUAGACGGCGACGCAAGUCUGAAGUGAAAUGCCAGUGCUCAACACUGGAACUGCUUUGGAAACUGUGUAGCUAGAGUGCAGGAGAGGUAAGUGGAAUUCCUAGUGUAGCGGUGAAAUGCGUAGA